UCUCUGCCAACUAAUAUCCCUAGAAGUCUCCAGACACACACACACACUCUCAGUUGCUUAAACAGAACAGUCGCAUCACUUUUCUCAUUAAAAAAAUUCUCACUUCUCUCCAUCCUUUUAGAAGGAAAGCAUAGCUAAAAUUGGUCUCUCCAUAGCUAUCCACCUCGAAUGAAUCUGUAAAAGCUACUGCUGGAAUCCAACACUAUAAGGUCAAGAUAUGAGUCAGCAAAGGUCAGUAGCUAUUCCAAUUUUAGGACAAAUCUUUUUUUAACUUGAUAUGUAGUAGCAUACUCUAAAGAAUAUACUUUUCUCUGUCAAUCCCUUGGAGGAGGAUUGGUCUCUGCGAUUUCAACUCAUUCAUGAACUUCGAGCUGUGGUUGAAAGCAUAGAAAUCUUGAGAGCUUUUACUCUUUGACCAGAGCCAACUGUAGAGCCAUUUGAAUCUUUUGUAUCAAACCAAGACGGGGAGAUCUUGAAAUUUUCAUAAGGUUGCCCAAUGAAUAAUAUUCUCAUCUGCUAGGAAGAAGUAAAAACUAAGUCUACUAGGGAAUGUACUAAAACUAAAAGCUCUGAGACCGAAAGGUAUGAUUUCAUGAUUAAUGCCCUUUGAUUUGCUUAAACAUAUUAUUUCCUUAUUACUAACAUCUUUACUAUGAAAAUUCUCCGUUUGUAACAAUGAUCUAAGGCCAAAUAGCUUGAUAGAAAGAUGAGUUGAGAGAGGACCAAGGAUAUUUUUUUUCAUUUUACACCGACACGUAACUCUAGACUAAAGCAUUUCUUUAUUUUUGUUUCACCGACAUACUCCAAUUCUUUUCAACCUAAUUUCUUGCUACUUUUUGUUACAUCUUUUAGUUUCGCUCGAUUUUCUCUCAGGUAAGCUUUCUCUCAAUUUUUCUUUAAUCUUCUUCACUUCUUCUCUAAUUUUUCAACAUAUAGAGAAGUGUAGAGUUUCACAAAAUUUGUAAGAGUUAUGAUGGAAAUACUCUCUCCUCCACAUUUUCAAGAUCGGUUCAUUUGACUUCUUCUCAAUGACACAAAUUUUGCAAAUUUUAAGUAGGUUUUCUCUCAAUUUAUUACCUAAUAUUCUUCCAAUUAGAUUUAUCAAUUUCAUGGUUGAUGUUUAGUAGUGUGCCAACCUUCAUUUACUUCCUUUAGUGUCUUUUGUUGAUCUUUAAUAAGUACAUUAUCUGUAUUUAUUCUUCAAAACUCAAAACUACAAUCCAUGCUCUUGGAAUUGCAUUUCAUCUGAACUUAACAUUCUUAUAACACUCAAAUAGGGGAAAAGAUAUUAUUAGUGUGGAUGUUCAUCCUUCAGAUGUCAUUAAUGUUGCCAAAAGAUGUAAGGCACCACUAUUUGGGAAUAAGCAAAUAGUCGUGACUGAUGCAAUAAUAAUAGUCUAUAUGGAAGGGACAGAUCUAGCAGAAUUAAGUCCAUAUAUGACAUAUUAUUAGAUAGGUUGGUAUCUUUUCUCUCAUAUGUGCAUUUCUUUGAACUUGUUUCGAAUUGAAGCUUAAUUCUGUAUGAUGCGGUGCAUCAAAUGGCCUCGAUUUAUUAUCUGAAGAACUUAGUGUGUUGAGAAAUAUGAACUUAGCAGUGAAUGAGGAGAGGUACAAUGAUGCAGGUACGUCAAACUAAUUCUGUGAUUAUUUUAUUAGAAAUAUCUGUUAUAGUUCUCCUUUAAUUAAUUUGUUGAUAUAUCACAUGUAUUUGCUUGUUACACCUAUGUGAAAGGACAAAUUAAUGAGACUUCAUGAGAAGACAUGAACUCUAAAUCUUUUUUCAAGGUGUGGGAUCACCUUUAACGCGGUGGACUGGAGGAACUAUUCAAUCCAAAUCUUAUGUUGCACAACUAUCACAUCACUAUGAAAAAUGAGGUCGUAAGAGUUUAGCAUGUAAGACUUUUAUGCUCUCAAGAGAUUCGAACGUUAAGGUCAUUCAUGUCUAAGAUAUUACAGAUGUUUAUCAAGAAAGAAGAAGAUCUACCUCUACCUACUAAUCCACCAUUUGUCAAUGAGAAAAUCAUGGAAGUUCAUAGCCCUUGGGAGAGGUAUUCGCAUAGCCAAGGCAAUUUUGUUUCGAUUGUCAACUUCUCUCACAGUUCUUUUUAUCCUAGAUGAUGAUAUUUUGUGUCCUGAAUACAUCAUGAUCGAGCAGUUAGUUAUACAAUAAAUGUGUUUCAAUCGUAAACAAGUUGAGGUUGGCUAUCUGAAUCUCAAAUCCAUUUAAGCUUUGUCAGAAUAGAAAUAGAAUUGUAUAUAGUCACCUACAUAUAAAAAGGUUCAUGCAGAUUCUUUCGAGUGUACAAUUUUUACCCCUUUUUAUUUUAGAAGGAUGACAUUUUAUUUUGCACAUUCAAAAAAUAAAUACACAUUUUAUUUAAA